GGUGGAGCUAAGGUAUAAAAAUAAUUCACAAGUACUUAUAGGCAAAGGAUAAAGUUGUUAGAAUACAGAAAAUAUUGGGAAAUGGUUUGAAGGGGUGUAUUUAUGUCAUUUUCUUAAAAAUAUUUUUCUAUAUUCAUUAUUGGUGUGCAAAAGAGUUUCAUAGGAUAAACUUCAAAUACACAAUAAGUUUAGUGAUUGACUGCAUUUUGUAUGAACAAAAUUAAUUUACUGAACAUUUAUUGAUAAAUGACAAGAUUAUCAAAUUUUUAGUAGAAUUUUUCUAUAGCAAAACAAUAUAGAAGCAAUUCAAAAGAAUUUGAAGGUAGAGAAAGUGAUUGUAAGUUGUUUCUUUGUUGAUAUAAUUUCAUAAAAGCCAACAAGUUUUAUUUAUAAACAAAUAUAUGUCUCUUUGGUCAAAGCUAAUCAACCUUUUGAACAAAUAUAGUUGUUCGAGCAAAUAUAAUUAUUCGACCAAAUCAGGGAGACUGCAUUAAUUAUGUAAUUUUUUCUAUAAAUAUUACUUUAACUUAUAUUAAUCUGGGGUGAGCAACAUUGUAAGGUUAUCAUGGAUCAUGGUGGACCAAUGGGUUUGGAUUGAUUUUGAGGUGAUCUUGUGACUUAACGAGUGAUCCAUGAUUCAAAUUUUGUACGACCAACACUUUUAAGGUGGUCCAUUGUCCUAGACAUUUUACCCAUUUACACUAGAUUAAAAGACUAGACUUGUUCUAUGGUGUAGUCCUUUUGAAAUUGAGUCUUGAAUCGAUUCUAAACUAACAAUCAUUUAAAAAAUUAUAUAAAAAUAAGAUAAAUAUUUAGAAAUUAUAAGACUUGAACUCAUAAUAAGAAAGAUGUUGUUUUUAAAAGAUCUAAACCAUAUUAAGUUAAAGAGUUACAUAAUAUUAAAACAUUUAUAUCCAAUACAAACAAUAAAUAAAUAAAUAAAAAAUCUACCAACAGCACCAAACAAAAUGUAAGACUUUUAAAGUAGUGUAACUUAAAAAUAAAUGUGACCUAUAGCGCGGAUAUGUAUGAAUUUUUCUUAUAGUAUUUAUGAAUUUGAUAUACUAUUUAAGUGUAAUAUUAUUAUUUUUUAAAUAAUCAUAAGAAUUUUUAAUCAUAUCAAAUCAUAAGCUUAAUCGUAGAAUUAAUCUUACAAAACUAUGACCUAAUCCAUAAUUAAAAUUUUUUAAAACCAAUCAUAUACAAGUGAUGCAUAAUCAUGACUUUAAAAAAAUCCACCUAAACCAUGUAGUAGCGGAGGAAAUGGGGGGUUAGUAGGGCUCCUGUUUUUCAAAAGUUUUAAAAUUUCAUAAUAUAUUUUUAAUUUUUUUAAGAUUUUAGAAUUUUAUCCUUACAAUAAAAUUUUGUUUAGUGAAAUGUUUUAUAGUAAUUAGUCAAUAAUUAAUUUUAAUGGACUUAAAAAUUAAAUAAAAUCUAUUGCAAAAGAAUUAUUUUCUAAGCCACACUGUUCUAAGACCUUAGGAUCAACUCAGCUCUUGUCCGUCCCCUCAAACGCGAAAUCCUUACUCCGCGGCUAAAUAAUGCUCACCUCUAAAUUAUUAGAAGACAAUGAUUAACAUUUUCCUAAUUUCAAUAAUAAUGAGUGAAAUGAAAUUGCAACUAGACAUGUAAUGGUAACUUGGGUAUGGGGUGUGAGGUUUACAUGGAGGAAGAGAGAGUGAGUAAAGACAUCAGGGGUGAGGGAGAGGGCGUGCAAAGUGGGUCCAAAUCGAGGUGAAUGUGGGGUAUCAACCGGACCAGCACACAAAUGUCCAGUGACUAAUAUUCAACAGUUCACAGGCUGUGCUGUGAGACCCUGCAAGGGUAAAUAGACGAUGGUGAUCGACCUGCUGUCCCCGUACCCAGUCACCUCGCGUGCUGUCUGUUUUGCCAGGCUAGUGCGGCGUUUGAUCCCUCACUCCCACCCGACAGCUGCCUGCAGCCGGUAACCUGUCAGUCACCUCUCCAACUCUUUAAAACACAAAACGGAACCAAAAGAAAAUGAACGCUAACUUUUCACCUAUGGAAUAAUUUACUCAUUCACUUUCACACAUGCUGCCAAAACAAACACACACACACACACACACCCUGGUGACCGCUUUUUCUUUUCUACUUCACUUUUUUCUCUGACUUUCUUUCUUUCUCUCUCUCUUUUCUCGAGGAAAUUGUUGAGGUUUUCACAGGCUUACGGUCAGCUGGAGCCUGCAUUGAAGUAUGGGGAGGGAAGGAAAUAGAAAAAGAAGCGCCCGGUAAACAAGGCUAACUGUGACAGGUUGAGGGUGAGGGUGACAAGUAAAGACACGUGGCAAGAUCGGCAGUGCUUGAUUUGUCUUUUUGUUGGUUUUGAUGUAUGAUGAAAUGAUACUGACAAAGUAUGGUAGUAUAUGGGGAACAUGGGAGUUAGGAGUAGGUAUAUUAUGAUCAUGAUGAGACUUUUCAUAGAGUAUGGCAAUAAAUGUUUGGAACCUGGAAAUAGCCAGGAUUUGAGUCAAAUUAUGUAAGCACAAAAAUAUAGGUGUAAUUUUCUUCACUUUGCAUUAUGGGCCAUCAAUAUGAGCUUGUUUCAUUAUGAUUUUUGUUGAUUCUCUCCUUUAAUAUCUACUCCUCCUACUAAGCAAUGACAGGAGUCAAUACUCUGCAGUUAUCAUUUUGGAAGCAAAUUCUUCUGAUAUCAUGGAACUGUUUUAACUUUUAAAUCAAGCAACUUGAAUUGAAUGGCAUCACUUUUUAAGACAGCAGAUAACAUUCCCUUCCCUCCAGGCUCCAACAUUCAGACCAGUUAAUAGCUUAUAUAUAUAUAUAUAUAUAACCUAUAAUUAAUUAAUUUGAUGUAGUUGCUAACAUUGACAUAUCUAUAUAUUGAAAUCAAUAUUGUAAAUUAUAAUAUCCUCAACACUGAUGGACUAAUUUAUGCUAGCUAUGGAAUUCUUAAAUUAUUACUGCAGAAAGGAACAGGGGGCCUGCAACAAAAUACUCAGGUAGAUGAUGGGGUUUACAAUUAUUUUACAUAUUCUCCGUUGGAGAACGAAGCAUGUCAAUUUGUUUACAGGAACCACGACAUUCUCACUUGGAAAAGCAUGCUUUCUGUUGACGUAAGCAAAACCUUCAUCUCUUCGUAUGGUGCUUCUGUUUUGUCAGAUCAAUUAUUAGUAUAUAUCAGAUACAUUUGUUUUUUCUUCUCUAUUAGUGUAUCAGUACAUCCUUAGCAUGGAGAGGAAAGGCAAGAGAGAAAGCAUGCUUUGGAUUGAUAUACGAAGAUCAUUGAAUAAUGAACCCAAAAACCAUUUGUUUAAAGGGAGGCGAUUACCCCAAUGUCUUAAGGGAAAGUAAUAUUUAACAUAGACUUCAUAAUCAUGCUUUCUGCUCCCAUGCUUAUUUACUAUAGCCAUUACCCCAUUGUAAAAAGGCUUCCUCUUAUUCCUUUUGUCUUCAUUUGCUUGGGAAUUCCAAAUGUUGGGGAGGGUGUCCUCCUUAUUUAGACUCCCUUAAAGUUGAAAUCAUGGCUCUUAUUGUUCCAUUGGUUCACUUUUUGAAUUCCUUCGAAAAGCCAUGAGGUCAUUUUGAGGAAGGUCGUUAUAUAAUAAUUGAGGGGACUCAUUGCUCGAGAUACUGCUCUCCUUUGUCUACUUCUACUCUUAGACUGGUGCAUAGUCAUAGGAUUUGUCCACGUACAUGGAAUUACAAAUUAAUGUCUUGUACAUUAUUUCCUUGGUCUAGUAUACAAAGAUGCAACAAGUUUGGAGGUUUUGCCCUGGAAGAUGGGAGCAAUGGUUGUUUUUGAGCCAUCGGCCUUGGUUCGGCUCAAGUUACCAAUCUCUAAAGGUGAAAGUAUGGGCUUAUGACCAAAAAGUUGGGCUAGCUUGGCUUGGAUUAGAGGUUUAGUUUAGGUCAAUAUAAGGUACCAAGCAAGCAAGCCAAGCCGAACCUAGUCUGCUCAAUUUUCUACACAGUGGACGCCCCAGAGCAAACCAUUACUGGGGCCUGGGCUUGCUGGGCUCAAGUUUUACCACAUGCUUCAACCCUGGCUCAACUUAAAUUGAAGUUGACAUACCAUAGCGAAAUGUUGCAGUAUCAAAGCUUAAGAGCUUGGAAAAGAGGUAAAAAUAAUCUGUUGAUUAUAUGGACCUUUAGCUCAGGUCAAGACGAUUGAUUUCUGUAUAGAUUAUAUGUAAUUACAUCAGAAGUCGGGCCAUAUAACUAAAGAAAUGUAGUUCACAGCUAGAGUCCUGAUGGUGCGGCAGUACCAGAACCAACAAAAGUAGUCCAUUCACCUAAAUAAGUAUCUCACCAUGGUUAAGCAAACACCUUUGAAGGCCUAAAGAUUAAAGACUAAUCUCCAAUGCGGACACCUCAGCUGCUGAAAGCCAUCCUUUUCUUCUGAACUUCAGUAGGUAGCUUAACCUCAGUUGCCUGUCCGAUAACUUGAAGAAAUUUGAUUACACACCAAGUCAUGUCCAGUUGCCACCAUUCCAGACCAUGUCUGGCUGAGUAUUCGAAAGCAUGGUGGUUAUUAUGCCAACCCUCUCCAAAUGCAAGCAAUGCCACCCACCUGAAAAAGUUUGCAGAUAUUUUUAUUAGUAACUUCUUAAGAAAUAGACUUGACAAGAACUAGAUGUAUAUUAGUACAAGGGAAGUCAAUUGUACCAAUUGUUCCUGGACAAAUCACCAGAAUUCCAUGCUUGCUUCCCCCACACAUGGCAAGCUGAAUUUACCAGCCAAGUGAUGUGGUAAACCCAUACAAUCCUCACACCCUGCAAUGCUCGCACGUUAAUGCCUAGGCCUCCUUAUGGUUAGUAUGCUUAUUUGUCUUCGCUAAGUAAAAGUUUCACUUUUGAAGAUUAAAAUUAUACAGAAACUACUCCAGUCCAAAGUUGUUUGAUCUUCAUUCUAGCAAAUCGAAUGUAACACAAAUGGGCUCCCCAAAAGCAAAAUUUAUCUACUUGAGGAAUCAGAAAUGAUAACCCCAGCCCCACGUUUGUUACAGGAUUACCUUUUUCUAACAAACUGUCCAAACUGUUAUCAUAUUAGCAUAGAUAAGCAUGGCCCAGCUUAAAGAUUCAAUUAGAUAAGACUUCCAACUUGUGAUUUAGUCCACAAGCUAGAAUCUAACAUGCUUUCUCAUUUUUCCCUUCACUUUGAGCCAGAGUACAACUUCCUAUGGCUAUGUUCUUUCCUGUCAACUUAAUGACAAAAAUCAUUUGAAAGUAGGGCCACUAGCUUGGUGGUAUGAAGUAAAUUGCAAGUGGAAGGCCCACCAAUCAAACAAAGGGUUUGGGACUCUUUAAGGAUUUUUUCCGUCCUUUUUUCUUUUUCUAAUAACGAAAAAGGAUGGCUGCAACUCAUGCAAGAGACUAUGUUAGCGGAGCUCCAUGAAAACUUUUAGCUUAAGAUAUCUCUAUGCUCUAAAAAGGAAUAUUCAAGGCAAAAUAGACUAAUCCUCAAAACAUGGGAAAAUUGAAAAACUCGCUUACCAUUCCCCAAACAAGGAAGGGAAACCCUCCUAGAGCAUAUAGCAAAACUCCAAGUGCAAUUGGAUGAAGAAUGUAGGUACCCUGAAGAAACUUGUAGAAGGGCUGCUGCCGUAGAUCCCCAACAUUGGUUGGUUCUCCACACUGCAAAUGUUCCAUUGAUACAAAACAUUAAGAAUAUCAAUUCGUUCUGUGCAUAUGUGAGUGCUUGCAUGUUUGAGAAAGAGAGAGAUAGAGUUACCCUUUCAACAACGGUGUCGGUAUCAAAGAGCCAGCUCAUGUGGCUGAACCAAAACCCUUCAAUGGGGCUAUGGGGGUCUCUGUCUGAAUCACAAAAUUGGUGGUGGUACCUAUGUGUGCUUACCCAGUCAAUUGGAUUCCCCUGCAAACACCAAAACCAACAAUCAUAUAACAAUCAAAUGAUACUGCCAUGUCCAUGACAAUAUUCCUCAAAAAUAUUUAAAGCUACCAACCUGAAGUGCCUGAACUCCACAAUAAGCAAAGAAGUACUCAAGCCAUUUUGGAACCUUGAAGCUUCUAUGAGAAAGAUUCCUAUGAAAAGACAAUGUAAUCCCCAGAAGUCCUGUCACCCCAUAGAGUCCCACAGCAAGCCAAAAAGCGGGCCAAUUGAAAUGAAAAGGUGCAAAAAGGCUGAGCAAAUGCAUGCCUACAACAACACCAGCAGUGGCCAUAUCCAAAGUGUUCCAUUUUCUUCCCCAAAACACUUCCUUCUUCCUUUGCACCACCACAUUAGAUAACAAAAUUCUACCCGAGGUUUUCCCUUCUGGGUCGGGCUCGUUUGCUCCAACUGACACCCCAUUAGCCAAUGCCAACACUUUCCUAUUGCUGUAACUCCUAUUCAAACGAGUGAUAAAACUCGCCUGCAGAGGACUCUGCUCUCCGUUUAUUUGAUUGAAUUUUGGGUUUUGAUGGCCAAAGUUUAAGACUUUGCAAGAGCAAGAUCUGGUUUUUAUUGUUGUCGCUCUUUGAGGAGGUGAUACAGCUAAGGAUUUUGGCUUUGACAAUAACGAUGUGAUUAAAGCCAUUGGGUCUCAAUUGGUGGGGUUCUCAAGAAAAAAUUGGGUUUUUGUUGGGUUUUAUAAAAGUUGUGGUUGGUUUGUCCUUUUCUUUUUGAAAGAUGGUUUAUUUAUUGAACCGAUUACUUAGAAUGCCGUAACAACUCUUGAACCAGAGUGGUAGAAGACCUCUAUUAACGUAAGAAGACUAGAUUUGGUGAGAAGGUUGGUUUGUACUUAAAACGAUAAAAUUUGAAGAUUUUGAGUUAUUGUCAAAGCACGAAGUAUAUAAAGCGGGAAAAAGCGUGGAUUAUGGAAAGAGAAAGUGAGCUAACGAAAAGGACAAAGGAGAUAAAAGCUGAUAAGGUGAUCUUGUUUAGAUGGGAAGAUGUGAGGUGAAAUGAGACUCAGAUAUUCUUUUGCUAGGAUUUUGUUUUAGCCCAUUAAUUUUCUAAAUUAUCUACUUGGAUGGAUAGAUAUUUUCUUUUCUCUUUCCUUUUUAUAGGAGUUCUUUCUCUAGUGCCCUUUUGUCUGAUUCUAUCCUUUCUUGCCUGGUUGACAGAUAAGGCUACUCUCUCGCUAGGAAGUUAAAGCAGCAGAAAAACCGGUGAGAGAAAUGGCAGCAACCGCGUCAAUCUUUACGUCUCCGACUCAACCCUUUUCGGCCACGCGGUCGGUGAGAGGUACAAGUGCCAAGCCAUCUAUUUCAAAGCCGAGUAGGGAGUCUCUUUAGACCUGCUUUUUUAACACCCAGUUAGGGAUCUUUGAUUGCUUACAUCGUUUUUCACGUUUUUGGUUGGGGAUUUGAGUUCAGCUCCCUUGAGCUGAAAUUGGGUACAAAUCUUAAUCACCAAUGGUGUGUUCGGCUUAGGUACUCUUGCUUAACUGGAAGCAACUGUACCCUUAGUAAGCAGUCAAGAGGAUCUUUCUUUAAAUGUUAUUAAAUUACAAAUCAUGGUAACUAGAUUAUCUUGCGAGAUAUAUUGAAAACAAUGGAAUUAUCCAAUCAUUUUGCCUUCAAGUUAAGAGUUAUUUCAUGCUUGUCUGUGUCAUGAUUCAUGCUCUGGUUUUUAUGCGUAAGUUGGCAUUUCUACUUUCUUAAAAGCUUGCAAUUUUAUUAACCGGUACAGUUGGUUUGCUAGGUCUCUGGUUUUGAGGAAGUGUAGAAUGGCAAAUAGGAAUCCUUGGGCUAUGACCUGUUUUAGAUUUGAUUAUUUAGGGCGCAACUUUCCCUUAAAUUUCAAUCCUGUAUUGCGCUGCAUAAUUUUGUACACUUCUAAGCUGAAAUUAUAUCAUUUGAGUCAGAAAAUCCAAAUAUCAUUGAGCAAGUCAUUUACUUCGUAGUCUCCAUCAAAUGAACUAGAGCUUCUAAAAUGAGUUGGUAACCUAGGGCUUUGGAGUUGGCAGUUGCUUCAUUCUGUUUAUAUCUGCAAUAAAUUCUAUGUGCCAGAACAAACUAAUGUUGUUGUGACUCAAAAUGCCAAGUAAAAUAGCUAGACCUUAUGCCUCAAAUUUCUGAUGCCAAACAGUUUUGCAAUUUUUUCAGAUGCAGCUAGUAGCUUUAUGGGUGCAUCAUUGCCAAGGGAUUUUGCAAAGACGAAAAGAUUAGUCAAGAUAAGUGUAAAAGUGACUGCAGCUGCUACUGUUACAAAAAAUCCUAUGGAACAAAUUAAAGAGUAUGGACUUUAGUUUCCUUCUAUUUUUGCUGUUUCAUUAAGCUUAAAGUGUUCUGGCUUUGGAGUUUUCUUUGAAAAGAAUUGUUGAGUUGGGUUUUUGCAUUUUAAGGAAUAAUAUCUUCUUUGGGAGUGGAAAAUUGGAGGAAUUCACCCUCUACAUGUUUCUACGUGCAGCAUGCUGAAGUUAUAUGUAUCUCAAGUUCUAAACUGCAAUGUGGUGUUGUUUGAAAUUUUUUAAUCAUUCAAACAGAAUAAUCUGAAGAUUCCUGCCCAACAGGUAUGCACUCCCUUCGUGGGCUAUGUUCGAACUGGGGAGGGCUCCGGUAUAUUGGAAAACCAUGAAUGGUCUUCCUCCAACUUCUGUGAGUGCAGCAUUGCUGGUUUUAUUAUUAUUAUUUUUGCUUUAUGUUGCUUGAAAGCAAGGGCAGGCUGUUGGCUGUUGCAACUCUUUUCUAUAGAGAUUGUCUUUUUUGACAGGGAAAGAAGGUGAAGCUUUUCUACAAUCCAGCUGCAACUAAACUUGUUCCAAAUGAAGAAUAUGGCAUUGCUUUCAAUGGUAAUUUGUGCUCAUGCACUCUUAGCUUUAAUAAUAUAAUUAACCAAAUUGGUUUCUGUAGAUUUCAAUAUAUAAAAGUCUGUACAAAUAAGAAGUACUACCUGUGAAAGGACUCUAGUUAUAUUAUAGACUGUAACACUAUGGCUUCUGUUAUGUCCUAAAAGUAUAAAACAAAUUUAUUCAUAAAAUGAAGUAUUUAAUAGGCUUGUUGUUACCAGUAUUACCAAGGUUAUUUAAUAAAUUAAGCAGUUUUUCUUCAUUUGGUUCUAUAGCAACACUCAGAAAUUUGGUUCUUGACAUUAUUACAGAAAAUAGGAACAUUUUGAUUUUCUUCUGCAUUAUCAGGAGAUUGCCAUCAAAAACGGCAAAAAGAAAAGAAAAUGAAAGUAGGGGGGAUAGAAUAACUUGUAAUCAUUUCAAAUACCUCACAGUUGAAUGACCUUGGUUCAUGGCAUGACUCAAAUGGAUCUUUGAUAAUUUCCACAAUUUGUUUUCCAUAGCUCAGCUACCAUUGGUUAAGUGAGUGGUGCCUGUAGUUCUUUCUUCAGUGGUUUAUCUAGGGGUUCUAGUAUUUGAUUCAUUGUUGGGUCGACUAUAGGUUUUGUAUGCAAGUAGAUAAUUGAAGUCCUUGGCUAACAACUUACUCAACUGUAACUCUGCAGGAGGUUUCAAUCAGCCUAUCAUGUGUGGUGGUGAACCGAGAGCAAUGCUGAGGAAAUCUCGAGGCAAGGCUGAUAGUCCAAUAUACACCAUCCAGAUAUGCGUUCCUAAGCAUGGUUUGUAACAUUCACAAAUUUUUUUCUCUUGGACAGUUCAACUCUCUCCUCAACUCCUAAAAUCUACUUUUACUUUGGCAGCUGUGAACUUGAUCUUCUCAUUCACAAAUGGAGCCAAUUGGGAUGGUCCUUACAGACUACAGUUUCAAGUUCCGAAGUCUUGGCAAAACAGAGCAAUUGAAUUCUUUAACCAGGUAAAUUUAUGCAUACUUGGGCUCUAUGAUUCUUCUGCCUCUAGGUUGAAGAUAAUUGUCCUGUGCUAUGAACACAUAUUACAUUUCGCAUUCGUGAUUGUCAUACCUGUAACUAUUUGGAAGUGAAGCAAAAUUUGGCAAGCCAUGCAUUACGAAAAAAAUGUUUCUUCUAUGUUGCUGGCAGGGGGUAGGGAAGGUGGAUCUGGAAAGUAAAUUUGAAGAAUUCAUUUUUUAUUUUGACCUAAACUAGAGAACUCAUUGCCAAACCAUGCAAUAUUGUGAAUUUCUCUGUUUCAUUUUACACUUGAGUUAAUUUCUAUUUGGAAUGAUUGAAUUGGUUCAGACUAGACAAGUGAGAGAAUAAUGUAACCUGAGACAUGUGAAAUCUUGUAUCACUGUGGCAGGGGCUGGCAGAGGAGUUGAGUCAAGAAGGUGCAUGUGACAGGGCAAUCUUUCCAGACACAAAUAUUGUUGUUGAUAGAUGUGUUAUGAUCGGGAACUUAUCCAAAGAAGGAGUAAAUAAACUUCUUAUCUGUGUUCUUCUUUAUUCUACAUCUUCAUUUCGUUAUUCUGCAUCUAAUUGCUAGCAUCAACUUUAUGUAUGAACUCUACAAUGGAACACUCUUGCAGGGUGAUCGUUGCAGCCUUGAUCUAGUUCCUGGAUGCAUGGAUCCUAACUCCUACUUAUACAACCCUCUCGCUAAUGUAGAUGACGGGUCAUGCCUAAUUGACUCUGAUUCUGAGGACUAGUGUCAGCCAGCCGCAUCUCAUUCACUCAUCUCAUAUCAUUUAAUACAAUCAUUUGGCGGAGGUCUAGAGUUACCAUGGCAGACUAUUUGCCGAAUGACUCCCUGCUCUUAACCGCUAGUCCUAUAGGGCAUUUGCCCUGCCUGUGACUUCUCAAGAAAUUCGAAUAUAAAGCUGCAAAUAUUCAUAUGAAUGAGGUACAGGAUAAUUAUAUUACAAAUUGGCUAUCAUCUCCACCCUGACAUUAGUUGCAGUAUAUCGUAACAGUUGUGACGAUUGAAAUGAGACAAUUCUUGUAUAGAAUGUAGCAUAAGGCAUAUAUCCUUAAAAUAAGUUCACCGCAUGAUUCCACUGAGUUUGACUUGCUUGGUGGCAAGGAUCUUUAGAGCUUUCUUUUUUAUGCUUAAGUAGGGUUUGGAGUUGGGAUUACAAUUAGAUAACAAUAUUUUAUUGACAGUUUGAUAAUAUCAGAAUGUAGAUUAGAAACCCUGCAGAAUCUUACUAAAAUUUGCUUGACAAUAAACCCUUACUAAAACGGCAGCAUCCAUACCCUUUGCCUUAACAUGAAGGCAAGGCCUCAUUUGACUAGUUGCAUAAUUCUUGCCAUCCAGAGAAAUUUAUGCUAACAGAUUGGCAUCCAGGAUAAUUGUAAAAAAAUUAAGUUUGGUCAAUGGUAAUUAUCUCUCCAACUGAAAAUAUCAUAUCUCUGUCAAGUCUACCUAAUGAAAAAGGACAGACAGAGGAAUAGGAUAUCCAUGACAAUGAUUAAAGAUGGAAAGCAAUGUUAAAUGUGCUGAAAGCUCAUCAGCUUGGUUUUAAUUAGGACCAUCAAACGCCCCUGUUCAGCAGCUAGAGGACAUAGAUAAUAAAUCUUUCUGGCAACGCAUAAUGAAAAAGAUGUACAACUAAACUAUUAGCUAUGCAUCAAUAUCAAACUGGUCCAGUUCUACCCAGGUUUCUGGGUCAAGGCCCUGCCAAACUUCAAAGACAAGUGAAAGCGCAAAGGCUUUGCAUGCCAUGAAAACUGGUCCUGUGAUUCUUGUAAUAUGACACGAUUUGACCUGUCAAAAAACCAUUGACAGAAUGGUCGUAGGACGAAAGUUCUUUUAUGAAUUCAACUUCUAGAACAGGACAAAGAAAGUAGUACAAAACACAUCCUAGGCUCUAACUUUAACAUGCUUAUCCUAUGCCAAAAAGAAUAUUGACAAAUGUGAAAUGACUGCAAGCAAGCAAUGUAAGCACCCCAAGAAAACAGAGGCCACAUCGAAAAAAAAAACACAAGGAUUAGAACAUUGACACCCCAUUUUAACUUGUUUUCUAAACUACCAUUCCCCUUUUGCUUUUUCCCCUUUGAGCAGCAAUUUACAUUGUCUUCUUCAAAUUUGACGUUGCCAUUUGAGCAAUUCUUCUUAUCUUAACAAGCCCUCUUUCAUGGUACCAGAAACAAGUGGACAUUUUCUCUUGCUGUCUUCGUACUUGCCAGCAAGGGAAUCGAAUAGGAUUCCAGCACCAACACCAACAGCCAAAUCAAUGGUGUGACAACCCCUGGUACCUAGCAACCUCACAGCUUGAAGCACAUUCAAUGUAUCAAAUAACCAUGCCAAUUCCCAUCUACGCAUUCGCCUCAUUUCGAACGACGCAAUCACAGAUCCAGCAACAUGGCCCGAGAAGAAUAGGAAGAACGAUACAUUCCCUACUGGAAAAUCCACUCCUGAACCUACAAAUUCCUGUCAUUCCAUGAUUGAAUCAGCUGAUCAAACCCAAUAACCAACCAGAGUUAAGAAAAAGGGAUUACGACUACCCUGUUCCUGACAACUAUAGACAAAGACAAAGAUACCAUUGACAGUGUUGUUCAUUAUCUUCAGAAAUCAAUCAAACAUGAUCAUACCAAUUUUAUGGAAAUGAAAUCAAACAAUUCAAAUCAGGGAAGGAUAAGUUUUCAAAUGUUAAGAACCUGGGGUAAUGGGAGCUGCGUGGAGUAACCAAGAAUCCCACGACAAGUAAACAUGAACAAAGCAGAUAUUGUAGCCCUUGGCCGACACUCGAUUAGCCAUGUCCAUAGUAUAUAAACUGUCUGCACCCCUACAAACACCUCACCCCAAAACAUAUGUAUCCAAAGAUCAGAUCAUGCUUUUUGCUGUAAUCAAACUUUCUUAGAGAAAAGUUAGAAACCAUUCAAAGUUAUAUUAUAUAUUGACAUGUUAAAAAAGCUCUUAUGACACUUUUCAAUUUUUACCUAUACCUUAUGUCAAUGCCACACGAAAUAUAAAAUAUAAAUAAUAAUUUAAUUAAUAAUAAUUAAUAAAUUGGUAGUAAUAACAAAUUAUUUAAUUUAAAAUAAAAAUAUAAAAAUUUAACUAAUUGUAAUAAAAAAAUGACUUAUUUAAAUUUUUAAAAUAAUUUAAAGAUUUUUUUAAAUAUUAUAUUUCAAUAUAAUAAUUCUUAAUCUGAUACAUUUUUAAUUAAUUGCAUUUGAAGAAUGCAUAAGGGACUCAUAAAGGUAGAUCUAUAAGAUCUCCAUGUGUGGAAUCAAUUUUUUUUGCCUCUUUGUUUUUACUAAUAAAUACAUUGUGAUGAAAAAAAAAGCAAAAAGAAAUCAAUGAAAAUAUACUUGAAAAAGUUCAUGCAAUUUAUUCUUGAGGAAACAAUACUCAUGUUCUAAGAGCUCCAAAGCUCUCAGGCACCUUCAUUUGACAUGCUAAAACAUCUCUUUAGCCAUAUCUUAAAGUGGGUAAUGAGGUUGUUUCUGAUUAAAAAUAAAAUAGUGAAAGGAAACGGUAAACUUGGAAGUUGGAAAUGGAGUAGUAUAAAUGUUUUGACAUUAAAAAAAGGGGAUUUUUUUUUAUCUUUUAAAAAUAACGUGCUUUUGUAAAUAACCCUCAUGAUAAUUUUAACUGUUUUUAGCAAAAAGAAUAGAUUUUGGGACAAAAAUGCUCUUAAUGAGCCAUCUUCGUUAGCGUGCAUUAUCAAAUAGGUGGAAAAUAGGAAAAAAAAUAAAUUUGCAAAGAUUGGUUGUGCAAAAUACCUUUUUUUUUUUGCGAAGGUUGUGCAAAACAAAAUAAUGUUGCAUGAGAUGGGUUUUCAGAUAUUUGGGACAUGACAUUCAGAUAAUAGAAGAAGAGAGAUAUUAAAUCGAACGAGGAACCAGUCGUCAUGAAUGGAAAGCUUAGCUAAUGAUGUGAAACCAGAAAUCCUUGAUACGGUAGUGAAUUGAAAGGAGAAAGAUGUGAAUCCAAAGCAGGAAAUGGUCUUGCUAUAGCAAGCCAUAUGUGAGACAGUUGUCGCAGGGCAGGGUUUAGAGUUUGUGAAACGUCAUGUUGGGAAUGUGUGACACGGCACCGCUCAGAGUUGGUGAGACGCCAGAGUUAAGAGUUGGUGACACGUCAUGGUGAGAAUCUGUGACACGCCAACGUUCAGAGUUGGUGAGACGCCAUGGAGGGAAUCUGUGACACGCCAGAGUUAAGAGUUGGUGACACGACAUAGAGGGAAUCUGUGACACGCCAACGUUUAGAGUUUGUGAGACGCUAUGGAGGGAAUCUGUGACACGUCAAAGUUAAGAGUUGGUGACACGCUAUGGAGGGAAUCUGUGACAUGCCGGCAUUCAGAGUUCGUGAGAGGCCAUGGAGGGAAUCUGUGACAUGCCAGAGUUUAGAGUUGGUGACACGCCAUGGAGGGAAGCUGUGAUACUCUAGAGUUAAGAGUUGGUGACACACCAUGGUCAUGGUUUAAAGUGUGUGACACGGCAUUGCUUGAAAAGUUGACACGCCAUGGUCAUGGUUUAGAGUGUGUGACACGAUAGUGCUUGAGCAGCUGACACAUCAUGGUUUGAAAUAGAGAGAGGAAAAAAAAGAGGGCAGUUAACGUGGUAAUCGUUUAGACUUUCACUGAAUUAAUUCCCUUUUUUCAGAAUCAAUAAGAAUAUUAAAAGGCCAUUUUUCAUUUUAAACAAUUAUUAUUCAGAAUUCAUAACGUCUAUGUGAUUCAUUUCUCAUUCCAGCCGGUACCAGAGUGUUCGAAAAGGCUAUUUGAAAGCGUAAUGACACCACAGCACCAGCAACAAUGUCAACCAUGAAUGAAGAGGUCAAUGAGUCUCAAAUUAAAACAUUCUUGUGUUCGUUAAUUUUUUGGUUUUUCCUAGGUUUGUUUGAUAUGUUCGGGUUUUUUGUUUUGUUUUGCAAAUGUUUAGACUGUAUUUUCUUACUGGUUUGAUGGUUGUUGGGGUUAAGUCGUAGUGAUUUUAGGGGUUUUGGGUGUUUACCGUGUGAUGCCAUUGUUAUUAUAGUUAGUUAUUGACGCGUCAGCUUUAUAUGAUUUGAUUUGAUAUGCAUGGCAUGUGACAACAUUUUACUUGAUAUGCAUGGCGUGUCACAACAUUUUACUUGUUAUGCAUGGCGUGUGACAGCAUUUUACUUUAUAUGCAUGGCGUGUAACAACAUUUUACUUGUUAUGCAUGGCGUGUGACAGCAUUUUAUUUUAUAUGCAUGGCGUGUGACAGUAUUUUACUUGUUAUGCAUGGCGUGUCACAACGUUUAACUUGUUAUGCAUGAUGUGUCACAACAUUUUACUUGUUAUUCAUGACGUGUCACAACAUUUUACUUGUUAUGCAUGGUGUGUCACAAUAUUUUGCUUGCUAUGCAUGGCGUGUCACAACUUUUAUUCCUUAUUGCACAUGACGGCUUAACUCAUUGAUGCAUGUGUGCCAUGUUUUGUAGAUCCAGCGUAGAUAGUAUGAGGAUCUUGACAGUUUGCUAAUUGUGCCAAGGGAGAAGUGGGCGUUCAACGUUGCAAUUAACACCCACUGUAAGUGGUCGCAACUGCAUUACAUCACAAAGACUCUCCAACAGAAGGAGGAGUACGAUGCAGUUAAGCGUACCUGCUUCGAAAUGCUCCUAGACGUCUAUCCACAUGGGUACUUUUGUGCCGGUCUCCUGCACAGCAUCAUGAUUCAUCGGAUCAGUGAGAGCCAGUCAAUGGACCACGAGCUAUGGUUUGCCAUUGGCAAGAGCAAGGCGCGGCUAUCAAAGCAGGAGUUUUGCCUCAUCACCGGGGUUGAAGUUUGGUCCAAUGCCUGAUGUGUUCAAACGACCGUACGAGGUUGCUGUGGCAAGAAUUCAUGAUAGAUACUGGAACGGGCAGGAAAACAUUAAGCUGCAGGCUUUGCUUGAUACUUUCCGUGGGGGCAACUUCCAACGACCAAGAGACGCGACCAAGAUGGCACUCGUCUUGAUCGCGAAUAACAUUUUAUUUGGUCAAGACUACCGUAGACGGGUAGCACCUUGGUUGCUAUCAUUGGUGGAGGACAUCGACGAUUGGAAUGUCUUCCUAUGGGGGCACUAUUGUUGGAAGCUGACCUUGGACUACCUUUUGAAAGGGUUCGAAGUACCUGACUCAAGUGUGACAAAGGAAACUCGGUUACGCUACAACAUUUACGGAUUCGCAUGGGUGAUACAGGUACUAUCACUUAACAUUUUUCAGUUUCCUUUUGAAAAAAAAAUUUAUGGGUGCACUCGUUUAUGAUUUACGGUCUAAUAAUGAUUACAUUUGACAUGCAGUUUUGGGUAAUGGAGGUAAUUUCGGUCCUCCUAAAAAUAGUUGCCCCCUCUGGUCCAAAGAAAAACGUCUACCCAUGAAUGUGAAGAUGAGAUUGCAAUCAGAAGUCAAAAGACUUCUACAAUGCAAUUCAGAAGUUAGAGUCAUCUGACCAUAUGAGUGAACAGCUGCUAAUUUUUACGUUAUAUUUGUAUAAUAAUUUUCUCUAUUCAAUAAUGAUUUUAUUUGUUUAUUUGCAGUUGUGGGCAUUGGAGACGUUGUAACCCACCGCGGAUGAGGCCUUCCGGGAGUAUUUUGUGGACCUUGAUGUCUCGUUAUCGGAGGGCCACGAGUACGUGCUAAUAGGGCACAUGGAGGAUCGGUCGAAUUUAGGCUUAGGUGCGAGGCAGAAAAGGAGAAGCUUGAAGGAGAAAAGAGCUUCUAGUGGCACGAAGCGGAUGCACACCGCCGCUGCUUUAAUUGAUGAGCUGUCGGGCCCUGAGUUGAUGGACGAAGGGGACGACCAUGGUCAAGGCAGUGAACAGCCGAUAAGGACAAUUGUAAUGAUUUUGUGUUCUCCAAUUCCAUAUGUGAUUAUUGAAUAACAUUUCCGUGUUUGCAGUUGGACCAUGCACCGGCAGCUCCAGAACCACUCAUCGAUCCUCCUCAAACACAUAAAUGCCUCUAUGACAUCGUUUACCUUAGCUCAAACCACCUUUCAAAAUUCAAUUACUUCAGUUGUUUUCCACCAGCCUUCAAUAGUUUAUUUUUCAUAUUAAAAAUCACUUUCUAACAGUCCCCCAUGAUUUGAAAUCUGGUGCACUCCAAGAAGAGUUUUGAGCAUUUCAAAUCUCUCCCUGGAUAAACCUUUGGUUAAUAUAUCAGCUACUGAACCUCUGUAGUGCAAUGCUUGAGUUCAACCUCUUUUUCAUUCACUGCCUCUCCAAGAGCAUGAUAUUUUACCUUGAUAUGCUUGGUUCUCCCAUGAUGAAUUAGAUUUUUGGCUAUUGCAAUGGCAGAAAGAUUAUCAACAAAAAUCAUGGUGCUCUUAUCUUGUUUGAAACCAAGAUCAUUAAGAAUUUUCCUCAACCACUUCAACUAAUUUACAGCUGCUGUAGUUGCUAUGUACUCAGCUUUUGCAGUACACUGUGCAACAAUACUUUGCUUCGUUGAAUUCUAUGAGAAAAUUGCACUAUUGAAAGAAAAACAGAACCCAGUUGUGCUCUUAGAAUCAUCAAGUGACCCUGCCCAGUCACUAUCACUAUAUCCAACUAAAUCCCCACUCUCUUGUUUCAUAAACCUCAGGCCAAAAUCAGCAGUUAUUUUAAUAUACUUGAGGAUUUUUUUGGCAGCUUUAAAAUGUAACUGUGUAGGAGCUUACAUGAAUCUGGACAAUAAACAUGUAGCACACAUCAAAUCUAGCCUAGUUACUGCCAAAUACAACAAUGAACCUAUUAGACUUCUGUAAAUUGAAUCAUCAAUAGCUGCAGAACCAUCUUCUUUACAAAACUUAUUUCCAAAAGCUAGAAGAGUUGCUACAACCUUACAAGCAGACAUGUUGAAUUUCUUUAACAGAUCCUUGGCAUACUUAGUCUGAUGUAACCACACUUCUUCACCAGUUUGUAGAAUCUCCAUGCCUAAGAAAUAAGUCAUUAACCCUAGGUCUAUCAUUACAAACUCUUACAUCAUCUGGCUUUUAAACUCAAUCAAUGAAUCACCAUCAGGUCCAAUGAUUAGUAAGUCAUCCACAUAUACUGCAACAAUUAACAUUGCAGUAUUUUCAAGUAUCUUCACAUACAAAGUCGACUCAUUUGUGCUUUUUAGUAGACCUUGACUGGAAAAAUAAGCAUCUUCCUUGUCAUACUAGGCCCUGAGUACCUGUUUUAAGCCAUACGAUGCCUUAACCAGUUUACAAACCUUGUCCUCUGCCCCUGGUUCAACAUACCCUUCAAGGUGCUCCACAAAGACAUCUUCAGACAGAUUACCAUUUAGAAAAGCAGCAUUUACAUCCAAAUGGUAUAUCUUCCACCUUUCUUUAGUAGCUAAUGCAGCAAGCAUCCUAAUUGUGUCAUAUCUGGCAACCGGUGCAAAAGUUUCCAAAUAAUCAACUCCAUAAGUCUAAGCAUAACCAUUGACCACCAAUUUGGCUUUUAUAUUUGUUUAUUGAGCCAUCAGAAUUUAGCUUAGUUCUAAAUAUCCAUUUGACUCCUAUUAUCUUGUGAUAUGUAGGUCUGUCUACAAGUAACCAGGUAUUAUUUUUCUUUAUCAUGGAGAUCUCAGCAUCCAUAGCCUUUCUCCAGUUUUCAUCCACAACUGCUUCAGAAUAAGUGACAGGAUCAACAGUAGCAAGAUUACAUUUGCUGUAUAUAUCUUCCAAUGUCUUUGACCCUCUUACAGCUUUACUUUCAUCUUCAAUAUCAGAAUCAUCACUUUCCAACAUAAGUUGAUGAUUAUCCAAAUCUUGACUACCAGGAACAGGUUCUACAAUCUUUUUUUUCCAGUUCCAGAAAUGACUUUUAUUAAAGACCACAUCCCUACUUAUAACCACUUUGUUUGCAUCUAAAUCAUAUAGUCUAUAUCCUUUGGAUUUGUCACUAUAGCCAAUAUGCACAGCAAUAAAAGCUUUAACAUCAAAUUUUGAUCUCUUCACAUAAGGAAUUCAAGCAUAGCACAUACAGCUAAAGACUUUAAAAUGAAAGACAGAGGGUUUUUGUUCAUACUGGAUCUCAAAAGGAGUUUUGAACACCAAUUCUUUAAUGAUGUUUCUAUUUUGAAUGUAGUUGGUAGUGUUAACUGCCUCAACCCAAAAUUUCAUAGGGAGAUUACACUGUAAUAAUAAACACCUUGCCAUUUCAGCAACUGUUCUGUUUUUCUUUUCAGCCUUACCAUUCUGCUGUGGACUAUAAGCAACUGUUAAUUGAUGGUGAAUCCCAGCAGUUGACAAAAGCUUCUCAAAUUCAUUUGAAGUGUAUUCAGCUCCAUUAUCGGUCCUUAACACCUUGAUGCUUAGGCUAGCAAAGUUCUCAACUUGUGCUUUGAACUCAGAAAAACUCCUUAUAGCUUCUGAUUUAUUCUUCAAGAAGUAAAUCCAACAGUAAUUAGAGAAAUCAUCAAUAAACAGGAUAUAAUUCCUGCUUCCACUCAGUGAGGGAUUCUUCAUAAGACCACUCAAGUCAGUAUGAACUAGCUCCAACUUCUUUGUAACUCUCCAACUACUUUCCUUAGGAAAAGGUUUCCUGGUCUGCUUCCCAAGCUAAUAGACAUCACACAACUUCUCUGGUUUAACAAUGUUAGGUAGACCUAUUACAAGGUCUUUUGAAGUCAUUGUUGUCAGUGAAUUAUAAUUCACAUGACCAACUUGUUUAUGCCACAAUUCAGAUAAAUCUUUCUCAGCAUAGAGAGCUAGUUGUUUACUUUCAGACAAUUUCAUAGGAUAACAUUUAUUCUUCAUGCUCACAGUUAAUAAUUCAACACCAGCAGGAUCGAAUAUUGUGCAUUGCCUAUCUUUAAACAAUAAGGCAUAACCAUUAUCAUCUAAUUGACCUACACUAAGUAGAUUCUGAUCAGCUUCAGGCACAUAAUGCACAUCAUGAACAAACCUCAUACCAGAUGCAGUUUUUACUCCUAUGGUGCCUACUCCAAGUAUCUUCAUGUAUAGACCAUUACCUAUUUUCACACAAGCCCUAUAACUUUUAUCAAGCUCAGUGAAAAGAUUAACAUUACUUGUCAAGUGGUUUGAGCAGCCACUGUCAAUCAACCGGGUGCUCUUCUCAUCAAUCUCAUCAUUUGCCUUAGCCAUAAACAAUACCUCCUCAAAUUCAUCUUUUUCUUCAACCACUGCAGCCUUGCCUUCAACUUCUUGUUUCUUCGCUUUACACACUUUCUCCACAUGUCCAAGUUGCUGGCAAGAUCGACACCUCACAUGAGGUCUAUACCAACAGUACUUUGGAGUAUGAUUAGUCUUUUUACAGUGAGUACAGGGAGGAAAUUUAUCAUGACUCUUCCCUUGUUUUGCAGAUCCAGACUUAGUGCCUUUAGCACUAUUCUUCUUAGAACUUUCAGAUUUAGCUUUCAAACCCUUAGUUUUAGCUACUAAGGCAUUCUCAACAGAGUCUUCAUCCUUGAGGGCUUUUCUCUACUCAAAAGCCAAUAUAGUAGAGAUCAAUUCCUUUGAAUCCUCAAGUGAUGUCACUUUUGAUUCAAACUUGUCUGACAUACUCACCAAAAUUUUGUUGACCAUCCUUUGAUCAGUGACUUCUUGUCCCAACAUUCUGAGCUGAUUCACCAGCUUCAACAUCUUAUCCAUAUACUCUUGAAUACCCUCAUUUUCCUUCAUCUUCAUCACCUCAAACUGUUUCAAUAAAUUCAUAAUCUGUAUCACCCUUGUUUUGUCAUUGCCUUAAUAUUCUUCUCUGAUGUUAUCUCAUACUUGCUUAGGAUCCUCCAAAUGCAUAAUCUUGACAAAGAUUGACUCUGACACAGUUGACUGCAGGCUAAUCAAAGCCUUGUAUCUCUUUGCAACUUCCCCCGAGUGUUGCUUAAUCUGAGCUAAAGUCGGAUUAGCAUGCCUUUGAAUAGGCAUCUCACUAGACUCCACCACAUCCCAUGGGUCGAAUGCCUUAAGAUAUGAUCUCAUCUUCACUGCCCAGAAAGGAUAAUUAACACCAAUGAAUACAAGAGGUGCAGUUGCACUAAUUCCAACUAUUGCCAUAUAGAAAUUGAAGAUGAUACGAUCAAAAGCAAAAUGUUACAGGUCCCUUGAGAAAAAACACUCUGAUACCAUGUAAAAGAACUCGAUUUUCACUGACAGAGGCUAAAUAAGAAAAUGAAAAAGAAAGAGAAGAAUAGAGUAUCAGCUUAGAAGUAAAAUGAGAAUUUCAUUGAUCAAGAAGAUAUAUAAAAAACAACGGCUACAAGCAAAUAUAUUCACUACUAAGAGCUGUUCCUUAGAUGUAGCCUUGAAAAACCUAACAAAAUCGGAUCGAAGCACAGAAAACGGAAGGAGAGCUUUCUAUUGCUCUAACAGUCAAAAAACAAAGAACAAAGAAAAUAACAACCAAAUGACCAUUCGACUAACAAAAACGACACUCAUGAAGAACGUUUUACAAGAAAAAUUAAAAGACUAGUGAAACGACACUAAUGGUCAUCGUUUCACAAACUUAAAACACUUAAAUGCCUUUACGACAUUGUUUUACGUAGCUCAAACCACCUUUCAAAAUUCAUUUACUUCAGGUGCUUUCCAUAAGCUUUCAGUAGUUGAUUUUUUAGAUUAAAGAUCACUUUCCAACAAAUUCUUCUUUGUUUCCUUUUUGUUGGGUUUCACUCUUUCCAGGGUUUAAGGUUUUGAGUUCUUUUGCUUUCUAGUGGGAAGCUCACACGCCUCACGGUUCACAACUAUUUAAAGCGUGAGAGUUUAGCUUGGGCCCUAAACUCAUACAAUACAACGGUAAAUAUUAAAAAAAAACACUAGCCAAUACGUUCAAAUAUUUUAAACAGCUAAAAUAUUCUACUCCUAAACAUAGAGCGUGGACUUACCCACAACCCUAUUUGGUGGAGCUAAGGUAUAAAAAUAAUUCACAAGUACUUAUAGGCAAAGGAUAAAGUUGUUAGAAUACAGAAAAUAUUAGGAAAUGGUUUGAAGGGGUGUAUUUAUCUCAUUUUCUUAAAAUUUUUAUUCGGAUUCAUUAUUGGUGUGCAAAAGAGUUUUUUAGGAUAAACUUUAAAUACACAAUAAGUUCAGUCAUUGACUACAUUUUGUAUGGACAAAAUUAAUUCGCUGAACAUUUAUUAAUAUAUGACAAGAUUAUUAAAUUUUUUAUAGAAUUUUUCUAUAGCAAAACAAUAUAGAAGCAAUUCAAAAGAAUUUGAAGGAGAAAGUGAUUGUAAGUUGUUUCUUUGUUGAUAUAAUUUCAUAAAAACCAACAAAUUUUAUUUAUAAACAAAUUUAUGUCUCUUUGUUCAAAGUUAAUCAACCCUUUGAACAAAUAUAGUUGUUUGAGCAAAUACAACUAUUCAACCAAAUCAGGGAGACUGCAUUAAUUAUGUCAUUUUUCUAUAAAUGUUACGUUAACUUAUAUUAAUCUAGGGUGAGCAACAUUGUAAGGUUAUCAUGGAUCGUGGUGGACCAAUGGGUUUGGAUCGAUUUUAAGGUGAUCUUGUGACUUAACGAGUGAUCCAUGAUUCAAAUUUUGUAUGGCCGACACUUUUAAGGUGGUCCAUUGUCCUAGACAUUUUAUCUAUUUACCCAAGAUUAAAAGACUAGACUUGUUCCUACGGUUUAGUCCUUCUGAAAUUGAGUCUUGAAUCAAUUCUAAACUAACAAUCAUUUAAAAAAUUAUAUAAAAAAUUAUAUAAAAAAUAAGAUAAAUAUUUAGAAAUUAUAAGACUUGAACUCAUAAUAAGAAAGAUGCUGUUUUAAAAGAUCUUAACCAUAUUAAGUUAAAGAGUUACAUAAUAUUAAAACAUUUAUAUCCAAUACAAACAAUAAAUGAAUAAAUAAAAAAUCUACCAACAGCACCAAACAAAAUGUAAGACUUUUAAAGUAUUGUAACUUAAAAAUAAAUGUGACCUAUAGCGCGGAUAUGUAUGAAUUUUUCUUAUAGUAUUUAUGAAUUUGAUAUACUAUUUGAGUGUAAUAUUAUUAUUUUUUAAAUAAUUAUAAGAAUUCUUAAUCGUAUCAAAUCAUAAGCUUAAUCAUAGAGUUAACCUUACAAAAAUAUGACCUAAUCCACGAUUAAAAUUUUUUAAAACUGAUCUUAUACAAGUGAUGUAUAAUCAUGACUUUAAAAAAAUCCACCUAAACCAUGCAGUAGCGAAGGGAAUGGGCCGUUAGUAGGGUUCCCGUCUCACAAAAGUUUUAAAAUUUCAUAAUUUACCUUUUGAUUUUUUUAGAAUUUUAUCCUUACAAUAAUUUUUUUGUUUAGUGAAAUGCUUUAUAGUAAUUAGUCAACAAUUAAUUUUAAUAGACUUAAAGAUUAAAUAAAAUCUAUUGUAGAAGAAUUAUUCCCUAAGCCACAUUGUUCUAAGAACUUAGGAUCAACUUAGCUCUUGUCUGUCCCUUCAAACACGAAAUUCUUGCUCCGUCACUAAAAAAUGCUCACCUCUAAAUUAUUAGAAGACAAAGACAACCAUUUUCCUAAUUUCAAUAAUAAUGAGUGAAAUGAAAUUGCAACUAGACAUGUAGUGGUACCUUGGGUAUGGGGUGUGAGGUCUACAUGGAGUAAGAGAGAGUGAGUAAAGGCAUGGGGGUGAAAGAGAGGGUGUGCAAAGUGGGUCCAAAUCAAGGCAUGGAGGAAAUAGCCAGGAUUUGAGUCAAAUUAUCAAAGCACAAAAAUAUAGGUGUGAUUUUCUUCACUUUGCAUUAUUGGGCCAUCAAUAUGAGCUUGUUUCAUUAUGAUUUUUGUUGAUUCUCUCAUUUAGUAUCUACUCCUCCUCCUAAGUAAUGACAGGAGUCAAUACUGUAUAAUUAUCAUUUUGGAAGCAAAUUCUUCUGAUAUCAUGGAACUGUUUUAACUUUUAAAUCAAGCAACUUGAAUUGAAUGGCAUCACUUUUUAAGACAGCAGAUAACAUUCCCUUCCCUCCAGGCUCCAACAUUCAGACCAGUUAAUAGCUUAUAUAUAUAUAAUAUUAAUUUGAUGUAGUUGCCAACGUUGACAUAUCUAUAUAUUGAAAUCAAUAUUGUAAAUUAUAAUAUCCUUAACACUGAUGGAGUAAUUAUGCCAACUAUGGAAUUCUUAAAUUCUACUCCAGAAAGUGGCAGGGGGCCUGCAACAAAAUACUCAGGUAGAUGAUGAGGUUUACAAUUAUUUUACAUAUUCUCCAUUGGAGAACGAAGCAUGUCAAUUUGUUUACAGGAACCACGACAUUCUCACUUGGAAAAGCAUGAUUUCUAUUGACGUAAGCAAAACCUUCAUCUCUUUCUUAUGAUGCUUCUGUUUUAUCAGAUUAAUUAUUACUAUAUAUCAGAUGCAUUUGUUUUUUCUUCUCUAUCAGCCUUUCAAACAAAAGAAACCGAUCUUUCAAAAAACCAGAUUCAAACAACCAAAAACCAAGCCACAAUUUUCUAUCAAAAAAAUCAAAGAAAACACCCUAAUCUAGCAACCACAAUUACAAUCCACAAUAAAAGAAAACCAAAAUAAAAUAUAUAUAAAAAAAUACACAUGGAGAAAGGAGAGAAACAGAGUGAGUUUGGGGGAUUUUUUGGUUUGGGUUUCUAGGAAUAGAUUUUUAUUUUUAUUUUUUGGUUUAUUGGUUGAAGCUUAAAGGAAGGAAGAGUUUAAGGAGCUAUUACCGCCGGUUUAGGAGAGAAAGAGAGGCUUGAAACGGCGUCGGAUAGGGAAAGUUAUUGGGCUUGGGUGCGUUGCCAGUAGGAAAGGAAAAAGAGGGUUACCGUCGGUCGGUUACAAAGGCAAAGGAGGGAGGCUUUGAGUGAGGAAAGAGAGCUGGUGAAAGAGCAGAGAAAAAGCGUUCAGAGAGAAAAAGGUAACUGGUAGAAGAGAAAGAGGAAGAAGAAAAAAAAUAAUAAGAAGUCAGCUUGGGAGGGCCUCUAAACGACGCUGUUCUUGAGUACCUGGGAGAGGCUGCUACCAGAGCUCCAGAUUGGAGUGUUUUGGGAAGCACGGUGGGCUAAGGACACGGGCUUGGGUGCUUACAAACAAAUCAAUUAUUUUGGGUUACUGUCUAAGCCCAAACAAGGUAAAAUCCUUUCCUUUAUUAUUUACAUGGAUAUAUUGCCUAGCCCAAUAUUGAGUUGAGGAAUAUUAAAAGUUAAAAAUAAUUAUAAAUAGNNNNNNNNNNNNNNNNNNNNNNNNNNNNNNNNNNNNNNNNNNNNNNNNNNNNNNNNNNNNNNNNNNNNNNNNNNNNNNNNNNNNNNNNNNNNNNNNNNNNNNNNNNNNNNNNNNNNNNNNNNNNNNNNNNNNNNNNNNNNNNNNNNNNNNNNNNNNNNNNNNNNNNNNNNNNNNNNNNNNNNNNNNNNNNNNNNNNNNNNNNNNNNNNNNNNNNNNNNNNNNNNNNNNNNNNNNNNNNNNNNNNNNNNNNNNNNNNNNNNNNNNNNNNNNNNNNNNNNNNNNNNNNNNNNNNNNNNNNNNNNNNNNNNNNNNNNNNNNNNNNNNNNNNNNNNNNNNNUAUAUAUAUAUAUAUAUAUAUAUAAACAACAUGAUACAAAUAUAAAAAUUAUGAAAAAAUGAAAUGACUAUUUGAGAGAUUUUACCUAAAAAGGGCAAAAAGUUGCUUCUUUCUGGUGGAUUUCUUAGGUACGGAGUUCGAGAUGAAUUUUCAUCGAAGUGUCAGGAUAAAUCCGAAUUCUAUACUCCGAUACCCAUUAGUCCGAACAAUUGUUAUUUAAAAUAAUAUACAUAAAAAAUAAUAUAAUAAAAAUAAAUAUAUAAAUAAGGCAAUAAAUCAUGUUAAAUUAUCAAACAUGUUAUUAUUACUAACUAACUAAUUAAUAAACGUGGUCAUGUAGAUAUUAUCAUUUUAUAUUGUCAUAGCAUGCCACGUGUAUUUUGUUAAUGGGACGAGAACUCCCAUGAUGGGAUUUCCUCGAAAGACUUUUAGAGACGAGUUUUUUUCGGGGGAUAUCCAUAGGUGAGGAAAACUUCGAGACUUCACCAAAACGUUAGGAUGGUCUACGAACGAUUUUUCAAUAAAAGACUAUUGCUCUCAUUAUUCAAAAUUGAAUAAAUCAUGACAUCGUUUUACAACUGCAUCAUGUGCAUCCGUGAAGCCGAAUAAAAGGCUCAAUCAGCUAAUGUAAUAAAAAAUUAAUUAAUAAGCAAGGAUUAAGGAAAUAUAUGAAUAAAAUCAAAAGUAGGCUACAAUAUGAUAACUUAAGAUUAAAUAGUACCAUUUGUGGAACGGACGUCACGAAUGUGCUAACCCUUCUCCGUGCGUAACCAUACUCCCUAACUCGUUUUUAAAAAUCGUAGACCAGUUCUCUUUUUUUUGAUGGAUUUAAAAUUAAUUUGGAAUUUAGUCGUUUAAAAUCGAGUUAAUAGGUGACCAAUCGUACCUUUAAAAACCGAUUGGUGACGACUCAUAAUUUGUUUUUUCACCAUGUCUAACAGUCAGAUUUUUGAACCCGCACGUUAUAACAAGCUCAACUUGGAUUAGAGGUUUAAUUUAAGUCAAUAAAGGGUACCAAGCAAGCAAGCCAAGCCAAACCCAGCCUGCUUAAUUUUCUACACAAUGGGCACCCAAAAGCAAACCAUUGCUGGGGCCUGGGCUUGCUGGGCUCAAGUUUUACCACAUGCUUCAACCCUAGCUCAACUUAAAUUGAAGUUGACAUGCCAUAGUGAAAUGUUGUAGUAUCAAAGCUUAAGAGCUGGGAAAAGAGGUAAAAAUAAUCUGUUGAUUAUAUGGACCUUUAGCUCAGGUCAAGACGAUUGAUUUCUGUAUAGAUUAUAUGUAAUUACAUCAGAAGUCGGGCCAUAUAACUAAAGAAAUGUAGUUCACAGCUAGAGUCCUGAUGGUGCGGCAGUACCAGAAGCAACAAAUGUAGUCCAUUCACCUAAAUAAGUAUCUCACCAUGGUUAAGCAAACACCUUUGAAGUCCUAAAGAUUAAAGACUAGUCUCCAAUGCGGACACCUCAGCUGCUGAAAGCCAUCCUUUUCUUCUGAACUUCAGUAGGUAGCUUAACCUCAGUUGCCAGUCCGAUAACUUGAAGAAAUUUGAUUACACACCAAGCCAUGUCCAGUUGCCACCAUUCCAGACCAUGUCUGGCUGAGUAUUUGAAAGCAUGGUGGUUAUUAUGCCAACCCUCUCCAAAUGAAAGCAAUGCCAUCCACCUGAAAAAGUUUGCAGAUAUUUUUAUCAGUAACUUCUUAAGAAAUAAACUUGACAAGAACUAGAUGUAUAUUAGUACAAGGGAAGUCAAUUGUACCAAUUGUUCCUGGACAAAUCACCAGAAUUCCAUGCUUGCUUCCCCCACACAUGGCAAGCUGAAUUUACCAGCCAAGUGAUGUGGUAAAGCCAUACAAUCCUCACACCCUGCAAUGCUCGCACGUUAAUGCCUAGGCCUCCUUAUGGUUAGUAUGCUUAUUUGUCUUCGCUAAGUAAAAGUUUCACUUUUGAAGAUUAAAAUUAUACAGAAACUACUCCAGUCCAAAGUUGUUUGAUCUUCAUUCUAGCAAAUCGAAUGUAACACAAAUGGGCUCCCCAAAAGCAAAAUUUAUCUACUUGAGGAAUCAGAAAUGAUAACCCCAGCCCCACGUUUGUUACAGGAUUAUCUUUUUCUAACAAAUUGUCCAAACUGUUAUCAUAUUAGCAUAGAUAAACAUGGCCCAGCUUAAAGAUUCAAUUAGAUAAGACUUCCAACUUGUGAUUUAGUCCCCAAGCUAGAAUCUAACAUGCUUUCUCAUUUUUCCCUUCACUUUGAGCUAGAGUACAACUUCCUAUAGCUAUGUUUUUUCCUGUCAACUUAAUGACAAAAAUAAUUUGAAAGUAGGGCCACUAGCUUGGUGGUAUGAAGUAAAUUGCAAGUGGAAGGCCCACCAAUCAAACAAAGGGUUUAUGACUCUUUAAGGAUUUUUUUCGUCCUUUUUUCUUUUUCUAGUAACGAAAAGGGAUGGCUGCAACUCAUGCAAGAGACUAUGUUGGCGGAGCUCCAUGAAAACUUUUAGCUUAAGAUAUCUCUAUGCUCUAAAAAGGAAUAUUCAAGGCAAAAUAGGCUAAUCCUCAAAACAUGGGAAAAUUGAAAAACUCGCUUACCAUUCCCCAAACAAGGAAGGGAAACCCUCCUAGAGUAUAUAGCAAAACUCCAAGUGCAAUUGGAUGAAGAAUGUAGGUACCCUCAAGAAACUUGUAGAAGGGUUGCUGCCGUAGAUCCCCAACAUUGGUUGGUUCUCCACACUGCAAAUGUUCCAUUGAUACAAAACAUUAAGAAUAUCAAUUCGUUCUGUGCAUAUGUGAGUGCUUGCAUGUUUGAGAAAGAGAGCGAUAGAGUUACCUUUUCAAUAACGGUGUUGGUAUCAAAGAGCCAGCUCAUGUGGCUGAACCAAAAUCCUUCAAUAGGGCUAUGGGGGUCUCUGUUAGAAUCACAAAAUUGGUGGUGGUACCUAUGUGUGCUUACCCAACUAAUUGGAUUCCCCUGCAAACACCAAAACCAACAAUCAUAUAACAAUCAAAUGAUACUGCCAUUUCCAUGAAAAUAUUCCUCAAAAAUUUUUAAAGCUACCAACCUGAAGUGCCUGAACUCCACAAUAAGCAAAGAAGUACUCAAGCCAUUUUGGAACCUUGAAGCUUCUAUGAGAAAGAUUCCUAUGAAAAGACAAUGUAAUCCCUAGAAGUCCUGUCACCACAUAGAGUCCCACAGCAAGCCAAAAGGCGGGCCAAUUGAAAUGAAAAGGUGCAAAAAGGCUUAGCAAAUGCAUGCUUACAAUAACACCAGCAAUGGCCAUAUCCGAAGUGUUCCAUUUUCUUCCCCAAAACGCCUUUUUCUUCCUUUGCACCACCACAUUAGAUAACAAAAUUCUACCCGAGAUUUUCCCUUCUGGGUCGGGCUCGUUUGCUUCAACUGACACCCCAUUAGCCAAUGCCAACACUUUCCUAUUGCUGUAACUCCUAUUCAAACGAGUGAUA
rnacentral:lncRNA from 1 species